AUAAAUACCUGGCAGGGGAGAUGCUGUGAUAAAGAAGGUGUUUUACCCUGGGCAAGGCCGUGCUAUUGCACACCAGUUGCCCUGAGCCCUGCAAAUUUCCCAAAUGUAGAAACCUUAAAUGCAUCCUGUCUGGCAGUGAUAGGAUUGCAUUUGUGUUCUUCCC
ensembl:snRNA U1 U1 spliceosomal RNA